GUUGCGUGUCGCACGUCGCCCGGCCCCGCCCCUCCCGGCGAGAUGCAUAUGGCUGCUCCCAGGCGCCUUUGUGACCAUAACAGCGACAGCAGACAGGAGGCUUGGAUGUCACCAUAGCGCUCACAGACGCAGCCAGAUGGAAUCCGUGGCAGAGGGCCCCGUCCCGGGUGAGGGGGGUCCCCCGAGAAGGAACUAAAGCCAGAUAGUGGCAGUCAAGGCGGACCCCUUCAGCAACUGGCCCACAGACCCGCUUCGUCGCUCUCGUGGGAAUUGAUGUUGAGAACUAAAUUCGUGUCAGAGUGAUUGGAUCUUUCUUUAUGUAUUAUUGUUAUGUUGGGUCUUAGUCGCGUUGUUUUUAAUUAUAGUUUUGAUAUUUUGAGGUAACUUCUUUGUGGAUUUGUGGGUUUUUGUUUGGGUUUUUUUUUUUGUAACUAAACAUAAUAAUUGUAUUUUUUGUAAUGAUUUUAAUAAUUUUAAUUUUUGUGGUUUAACUGUAAUUUGGGGUAAUAGUGUAUAAAUUGUGUUUUAAUAGUUUAUAUUAUGUUAUACUAUAUGUAUAGGAUUUUUUCAUUUACAAUUUAAAGUUUGUGAGGGAUAUAUGUUAGUUGUGAAGAGGUAAACUAACAAGGUAAGAACAAAAUGGGGUUUUAGGAUUGGUGACCGAUAAACAGGAGUGUAUUCGGAUGUGUAGUUUUAGUUAGUGUUACUUACAUGUUUUGUUUUGGUUGUGGAACUAUUUAUCUUAGCUUUUUUUUUUUUUUAGUAUUUUAAAUAAGGUUUGUUUGACACAAUGA